CACCGCCCGUCACACCACGGGAGUUGGAGACGCCCGAAGCCGAUUAUCUAACCUUUUGGAAGAAGUCGUCGAAGGUGGAAUCAAUAACUGGGGGGAAGUCGUAACAAGGUAGCCGUAUCGGAAGGUGCGGCUGGAUCACCUCCUUUCUAAGGAGA
rnacentral:rRNA from 1 species